rnacentral:tRNA from 1 species
GGGUCUUUGCUCAGUUGGGAGAGCAUCGCCCUUACAAGGCGAGGGUCACUGGUUCAAGUCCAGUACGACCCACCA